UCGAACCCCUGCCAUUUUAUCGGAGAUAUCUCGAUUAUAGGGGCCAAACCACAUCACUGGCCGACUUCCUGUACUUUGAAAUUAGGUGUCAUGUGUGCUUUUCGCGUGGGAAACAAAGAACCGUCCGGACAAAGGGCGUGAAGUGCGACGUCGGACACUGGAUUUCCGGAUGUUUCCAAGAUUUCCACAUGAAGCCAACAGUCCGUUAGAAGACGCAGGUGGGAAGAGAGACAACUUAUAAAGCUGGUGACCAAAAAUCAUGGAAUGAACUGGUCUGAUCAGGCACAGAAGAUAACUUGCAGCCAGAAUAACAAAUGAGUUGGAUGUCAGCAAUUCUUCUGUUGAAUUCACCUGGAUGGUCCCUGAUGAUUCACCUGCUAUUGUACCUCCAAACUUUGGCAAGAUAUGCAAGGCUUUCUGACAGCUGACAGGAGGUUGCCUUAUUUUCACUCAUGCAGCCUGGAACCAGAAUAGAAGUGGACACUAACUGGUCCAAAAUUAGCUGACAAGUCCAUCAUGAGGACAACAUGUUAAAUGGUAAGCCAGGGAAGAGAAACUUGACAUGGCAUGAAGCUUGGCAGGAUGGAAUGACAUAACAGCAGAACAAAAACAAUACAAUGCUGAAACAGAGCCAGAAUCAAGCAAAUGGCUCAACUGCAGGCCACUGUUUUUACUGUGGGAUUACUCCAGCACAUAUCUCAAAUAACAAAUAUGCAUAUGCAGCAGUUGAACAAAACUGUGAUGAAUAUUGGUAAUGCAAAUAAAGAAUUGAGCUCUGAAUAUAAAAUGAAACUUUCUCAUUUAGCUGUUUUGAAUGCUAAAUGAAGAGUAAAAAUAUCAUGAAACCAACAGCAGUUUGUUUGAACUGUUAUCCAAAAUAAAUGAGAAAAUUAACAAGCACACAGUUGCAGUGGAAAACGAACCACAUUAAGUCCAUAAGGUAAUCAAGUCCAAUAUAAGGGUAGAAUAUUGUGGAGUAUAGACCUGUUGCUAGGCAAAGACCUUUAAGCAAACAAUGAGUACAGCCAUUUCUAUGCAGUAAAACUAAAGGUAUCCCUGUACCAGGCCGUGGAGGCCCAUAGGGUUGUGAG